CCGGUAAUUGGGGCUAAGUCGUAACAAGGUAGCCGUACCGGAAGGUGCGGCUGGAACACCUCCUUUCUGGAGAGAC
rnacentral:rRNA from 1 species